rnacentral:rRNA from 1 species
CACGUAGGGGACGAGCGUUGUCCGGAUUCAUUGGGCGUAAAGGGUGCGUAGGCGGCGCGGUAAGUCGGAUGUGAAAUCUCGGAGCUUAACUUCGAAACUGCAUUCGAUACUGCCGUGCUUGAGGACUGGAGAGGGAGACGUGGAAUUUACGGUGUAGCGGUGAAAUGCGUAGAUAUCGUAAGGAAGACCAGUGGCGAAGGCGGGUCUCUGGACAGUAACUGACGCUGAGGCACGAAGGCCAGGGGAGCAAACGGG